rnacentral:lncRNA from 1 species
UUGCAUUGAAGCAGAAGAAGUAGUUUUGUAAUAUGUGGAACUGAAGUUUUUACUCUGCCAUUUGCUAGGAAUUUAUUUGCUUAAAAAGGAAUUCAAUGCAGGCUUUUCUGAUGGCAAACAAAAAGAUAUGUCUCACUUAAGUUUCCCCAGAUGAAUCGUAAAAUAUAACUUAAUAUGCACAUGCAUCUGUUCUGUGGAAACUACGGACAGGAGGAAAAUUAUAUACCUGACCUGCUCUAGGAUUACAAAAAUCCACAUUCCUGUUACAUGACAGAGGUCAGAAUUUACUGGCAUCAAUGGCAGCUGCUGCAGAGAGCAAAGCACUGAGGCAGGGCUUGAUGGCAGCGGGGCUGCUCCCGCACCGCACUUCCCGGGUGGUGAUGAUGUGUGAAAUAGUGUCCUCUGCUGCACGAACCGACACAGUGCGCCUACUCUGAGUUGCCCCGCAGGAAGACAGACUGGAGGAGGAAAGCUUGAACAACAAUAAAUCCUGAUCUAAAGGUAACA